UCGACGUCGACCGUAAAUCCGCCUUCGCUCUUCGCCACACACCACGUCCCUGAGGACCAAGUGGGUGCAGCUAAGGAAGCUAUACGCCAGGCAGGCAUCAUGAUGGAGCAGGUCAAGGUGGUUCGAGAAGCCAGCCAAGCGGCUUAUGACACGAGUUCAGCUCUUUAGAGUAACGUCCAGAAAUCCUGUGAACUUGUGGCUCUCUACACUGAGUUGGAGAACAAACAGAUCCAGCUCGACCUUGACUUGAAGCUCGCUCAACAGAACCUGCAGAAGGCGCGAGACGAAGCAAAAGAUGAACUGGAGGAAGCUCUGAAGAAGAAGGAU